CUGGAGGUAUCAGAAGUGCGAAUGCUGACAUAAGUAACGAUAAAGCGGGUGAAAAGCCCGCUCGCCGGAAGACCAAGGGUUCCUGUCCAACGUUAAUCGGGGCAGGGUGAGUCGACCCCUAAGGCGAGGCCGAAAGGCGUAGUCGAUGGGAAACAGGUUAAUAUUCCUGUACUUGGUGUUACUGCGAAGGGGGGACGGAGAAGGCUAUGUUGGCCGGGCGACGGUUGUCCCGGUUUAAGCGUGUAGGCUGGUUUUCCAGGCAAAUCCGGAAAAUCAAGGCUGAGGCGUGAUGACGAGGCACUACGGUGCUGAAGCAACAAAUGCCCUGCUUCCAGGAAAAGCCUCUAAGCAUCAGGUAACAUCAAAUCGUACCCCAAACCGACACAGGUGGUCAGGUAGAGAAUACCAAGGCGCUUGAGAGAACUCGGGUGAAGGAACUAGGCAAAAUGGUGCCGUAACUUCGGGAGAAGGCACGCUGAUAUGUAGGUGAAGUCCCUCGCGGAUGGAGCUGAAAUCAGUCGAAGAUACCAGCUGGCUGCAACUGUUUAUUAAAAACACAGCACUGUGCAAACACGAAAGUGGACGUAUACGGUGUGACGCCUGCCCGGUGCCGGAAGGUUAAUUGAUGGGGUUAGCCGCAAGGCGAAGCUCUUGAUCGAAGCCCCGGUAAACGGCGGCCGUAACUAUAACGGUCCUAAGGUAGCGAAAUUCCUUGUCGGGUAAGUUCCGACCUGCACGAAUGGCGUAAUGAUGGCCAGGCUGUCUCCACCCGAGACUCAGUGAAAUUGAACUCGCUGUGAAGAUGCAGUGUACCCGCGGCAAGACGGAAAGACCCCGUGAACCUUUACUAUAGCUUGACACUGAACAUUGAGCCUUGAUGUGUAGGAUAGGUGGGAGGCUUUGAAGUGUGGACGCCAGUCUGCAUGGAGCCGACCUUGAAAUACCACCCUUUAAUGUUUGAUGUUCUAACGUUGACCCGUAAUCCGGGUUGCGGACAGUGUCUGGUGGGUAGUUUGACUGGGGCGGUCUCCUCCUAAAGAGUAACGGAGGAGCACGAAGGUUGGCUAAUCCUGGUCGGACAUCAGGAGGUUAGUGCAAUGGCAUAAGCCAGCUUGACUGCGAGCGUGACGGCGCGAGCAGGUGCGAAAGCAGGUCAUAGUGAUCCGGUGGUUCUGAAUGGAAGGGCCAUCGCUCAACGGAUAAAAGGUACUCCGGGGAUAACAGGCUGAUACCGCCCAAGAGUUCAUAUCGACGGCGGUGUUUGGCACCUCGAUGUCGGCUCAUCACAUCCUGGGGCUGAAGUAGGUCCCAAGGGUAUGGCUGUUCGCCAUUUAAAGUGGUACGCGAGCUGGGUUUAGAACGUCGUGAGACAGUUCGGUCCCUAUCUGCCGUGGGCG
rnacentral:rRNA from 1 species